UACGUAGGGGGCAAGCGUUGUCCGGAGUUAUUGGGCGUAAAGAGCGUGUAGGCGGCCUUACAGGUCAGCUGUGAAAACUCGAGGCUCAACCUCGAGACGUCGGUUGAAACCGUAAGGCUAGAGUCCGGAAGAGGAGAGUGGAAUUCCCGGUGUAGCGGUGAAAUGCGCAGAUAUCGGGAAGAACACCCGUGGCGAAGGCGGCUCUCUGGGACGGUACUGACGCUGAGACGCGAAAGCGUGGGGAGCGAACAGG
rnacentral:rRNA from 1 species